rnacentral:rRNA from 1 species
GACGAACGCUGGCGGCGUGCUUAACACAUGCCAGUCGAACGGAAAGGCCUCUUUCGGGGGGUACUCGAGUGGCGAACGGGUGAGUAACACGUUAGUAACCUGCCCUUGACUUUGGGAUAACUUCAGGAAACUGGGGCUAAUACCGGAUAGGAGCUCCUGCUGCAUGGUGGGGGUUGGAAAGUUUCGGCGGUUGGGGAUGGACUCGCGGCUUAUCAGCUUGUUGGUGGGGUAGUGGCUUACCAAGGCUUUGACGGGUAGCCGGCCUGAGAGGGUGACCGGCCACAUUGGGACUGAGAUACGGCCCAGACUCCUACGGGAGGCAGCAGUGGGGAAUAUUGCACAAUGGGUGGAAGCCUGAUGCAGCAACGCCGUGUGCGGGAUGACGGCCUUCGGGUUGUAAACCGCUUUCGCUCAUGACGAAGCUUUGUGUGACGGUAGUGGGUAAAGAAGCACCGGCUAACUACGUG